rnacentral:rRNA from 1 species
UACGUAGGCAGCAAGCGUUGUUCGGAGUUACUGGGCGUAAAGAGUGCGUAGGUGGUGCCCUAAGUCUGUUGUGAAAUCUCCCGGCUUAACUGGGAGGGUGCGGUGGAAACUGGGGUGCUUGAGUGUGGGAGAGGUAAGCGGAAUUCCAGGUGUAGCGGUGAAAUGCGUAGAUAUCAGGAGGAACACCGAUGGCGAAGGCAGGUCUCUGGGCCACUACUGACGCUGAGAAGCGAAAGCAUGGGGAGCGAACAGG